AGACACUGUGAUAGGAACCAUAGGGAGUAGUGUAGACUCCUGUAGGAGGCUCUGAGAUGGGGCCUUUAAGAAAUAGGGAGGUCCCUGAGCGAAGCUGCUGGAGUUUCCUGAGGGGAGGCAAGAUGGGGAGAAUUUGUGAGGCCCAAGAAAGUGAGAACCAACUUUGGGUGGAUUUUAGAUAGUUUGUUUGGGGGUUUAAACUGGACUUUUGUUACCCAGGAUGGAGACUGAUAUUUAAACGUGAGCUGGCUGGAUCACUAUGUCUCCAAGAAGACGACUGUGGAUGAAGCACGAUGGCUGAGAAAAGGAAGCACUCGAGAGAAGAAUCCCUGCAACACCUUUGCCCUGCCACCAGGGAUACUGUGGUGAAUCAGAGCACCAGCUGGGGGACAGGCCACUUCCUGGAAGUCAGUGACCAGUUGGAGUUAGAAGCUGUCAGCGGUACCUGAGGCCAUCAACUCUCUUAGCAGGAAAGAUUUCACCCUUUUCAGCACAAAUUUUGACUCAUUUCAGCUACUUACAUGUCUGCACGCUGGAGGAAUGAGCUGGUCCCCUUAAACGGAAUCUGAGAGAAGGUGUCUGGAAAACGGGGAACCCACAAGGAAAAAUGACACAUAGGUACUUGACUGAACAGAUGAAGUGAGUUGUUAUAGCAACUUGAGUUCUAAAAACAGUAGAGGAAACCGACAUGAUGCCACUCCUACUGAAGAAUUCACAUGACUGCUAUCGAAAUUCUAACAUUGAGGAAACACCUUUCUCCUAUUAUUUUUAAAUUCAAUGCACAUAGGCUUCCUCAGCAAAAUCUGUGUAAAUC